rnacentral:lncRNA from 1 species
UUUUUGGGGGAAUUUUUGCAGAAAUAUUUUGAUUUUUUUGGGGGGGAAUUUUUGCAGAAAUAUUUUGAUUUUUUUGGGAAUUUUUGCAGAAAUAUUUUGAUUUUUUUGGGAAUUUUUUGGGAAUUUUUGGGAUUUUUCCCGGAAUUUUUUCGGGAUUUGGUGCAUGAGGAAAAGCCCCAGGAAAUGGCAAAAAAAGAUGGAAAAAAGCGGAAAAAAAAGGAAAAAAAAAAGAUUAAAAAAAUGAAAAUAAUUGAGAAUAAAAGGAGGAGGCUGCGGAGUUUUUAUUGGGAAAUGGGGAUUAAUUGGGGAUUAAUUAAUUGGGGGUUUUAAUUGGAAUUUAUUGGGAUUUAUUUGGGAAUUUAUUGGGAUUUAAUUGGGGUUUUAAUUGGGAAUUUAUUGGGAUUUAUUUGGGGUUUAAUUGGGAAUUUAUUCGGGAUUUAAUUGGAAAUUAAUUGGGGUUUUAUUGGGGUUUAAUUGAGAUUUAAUUAGGAUUUAAUUGGGGAAUUAAUGAGGAUUUUAUUGGGAUUUAUUGGGGAUUUAAUUGGAAAUUAAUUGGGGUUUUAUUCGGGUUUAAUUGAGAUUUAAUUAGGAUUUUAUUGGGAUUUAUUGAGAUUUUACUGCAAAUUAAUUUUGAUUUAUUUAGAAUUUAAUUAGAAAUUAAUUGGGGUUUAAUUGAGAUUUAAUUAGGAUUUAAUUAGGGAAUUAAUGAGGAUUUUAUUGGGAUUUAUUGAGAUUUUACUGCAAAUUAAUUGGGAUUUAUUCGGGACUUAAUUGGAAAUUAAUUGGGGCUUUAUUUGGGUUUUAUUGGGGUUUAAUUGAUAUUUAAUUAGGAUUUAAUUGGGAAUUAAUGAGGUUUUUAUUGGGAUUUAUUGGGAUUUUACUGCAAAUUAAUUGGGAUUUAUUUGGGAUUUUGGGGUUGGAAAAUUGGGAAUUAAUUGGGAAUUAAUUGGGAUUCAAUUGGGAAUUAAUUGGAAAUCUGGGUUUUAAUUAGGAAUUAAUUGGGGAUUAAUUGGGAUUGGGCUGGGAUUUAAUUGGGGAUUAAUUGGGGUUGGAAAUCGGGAUUUAAUUGGGAUUUUAGUGAGAUUUAAU